rnacentral:rRNA from 1 species
GUUUGAUCAUGGCUCAGAUUGAACGCUGGCGGGGAUGCUUUACAUGCAAGUCGAACGGCAGCACGAACACCCCGGUCUGGUGGCGAGUGCGAACGGUGAGUAAUGUCCGAACGCCUAUAGUAGCGGGGAUAACUACGCGAAAGCGUAGCUAAUACCGCACAUUGUCUGGGGGAAAGCGGGGGACCGUCUCGCACUAUUAGAGCGGCCGAUAUCGGAUUGAACUAGUUGGUGGGUAAUGUCCAUCUGCGGUGAUUGAUCCAGCUGGUUUGAGAGGGACGACCAGCCACACUGGGACUGAGAUACGGCCCAGAUCCGCCGGAGGCAGCAGGGAAUUUCCGACAAUGGGGGAAACCCUGAUCCAGCCAUCCCGCGUGUGCGAUGAAGGCCUUCGGUUGUAAAGCACUUUUGGCAGGAAAGAAAACGGCACGGGAUAAUACCCUGUGCAACCGACGGUACCUGCAGAAUAAGCACCGGCUAACUACGCCAGUGCUGUAAUACGUAGGGUGCAAGGUUAAUUUGAUAAUCAUUGGGUAUGUAUGAUGCGUUCGGAAAGAAAGAUGAAAUCCCAGAGCUUAACUUUGGAACUGCAUUUUUAACUACCGAGCCAGAGUGUGUCAGAGGGAGGUGGAAUUCCGCGCAGUGAAAUGCGUAGAUAUGCGGAGGAACACCGAUGGCGAAAGAAGACAGCUCUCCUGGGAUAACACUGACGCUCAUGCACGCGCCGGGAGCAAACAGGAUUAGAUAUCCAGAACUCAACGCCUCUAAUGAUGUCAACUAGUCUGUCAGCCCGCCUGAGAACGUUCAACGGUGCGAAGCGACCGUCUGGGAGUAAUACGGUCGCGAUUGUGUCCAAAGGAAUUGACGGGGACCCGCACAAGCGGUGGAUGAUGUGGAUUAAUUCGAUGCAACGCGAAAAACUCAUCAACUCCUUGACAUGUCUGGAAUCCCGAAGAGAUUUGGAGGUGUUCAAAGAGAACCCGGUCACAGGCGCCACGCUACUGUCGUCAGCUUCAGUCGAGACGUCGUUGUAGCGUCCCGCAACGAGCGCAACCGUCAACAUUGCUGGCUUAGAAAGGGCACUCUAAUGAUCCUCGCUGGUGAUGUCCAGAUGGUGCGACGCCAUCCCGCCCUGGCACAGGUCACAUCGUCAUACAAUGGUCGGGACAGAGGGUCGCUAACCCAUGAGGGUACGACCAACCCAGAAACCCGAUCAGUCCGGAUCGCAGUUCGCAACUCGACUGGCGUGAAGUCGGAACCCUGCCAGAACACUGCGGAUCAUAUGUCGUAGGAAUGGAGGCUGGUUCCGGUCCAGGCUAUCGCCCGCCUGCCAAGCACCAGCACAGAGGUCGAUUGGUGGUCAAUAUCCGGGCGUUAGAGGGCGAUUACCAUUGCACGUAGGAUCACGACCACGGUGAAACGCAUGAAGGCAA